rnacentral:rRNA from 1 species
UUGCCUACGGGGGGCUGCAGUGGGGAAUUUUGGACAAUGGGCGAAAGCCUGAUCCAGCCAUGCCGCGUGAGUGAAGAAGGCCUUCGGGUUGUAAAGCUCUUUUGUGCGGGAAGAUAAUGACGGUACCGCAAGAAUAAGCCCCGGCUAACUUCGUGCCAGCAGCCGCGGUAAUACGAAGGGGGCUAGCGUUGCUCGGAAUCACUGGGCGUAAAGGGUGCGUAGGCGGGUCUUUAAGUCAGGGGUGAAAUCCUGGAGCUCAACUCCAGAACUGCCUUUGAUACUGAAGAUCUUGAGUUCGGGAGAGGUGAGUGGAACUGCGAGUGUAGAGGUGAAAUUCGUAGAUAUUCGCAAGAACACCAGUGGCGAAGGCGGCUCACUGGCCCGAUACUGACGCUGAGGCACGAAAGCGUGGGGAGCAAACAGGAUUAGAUACCCCUGUAGUCUAC